rnacentral:rRNA from 1 species
UACGGAGGGUGCGAGCGUUGUCCGGAAUCACUGGGCGUAAAGGGCGCGUAGGCGGCCUGAUAAGUAGGGGGGUGAAAUCCUGCGGCUUUAACCGGCAGGGCUGCCUUCUAAACUGUCAGGCUGGAGCACAGUAGAGGCAGGUGGAAUUCCCGGUGUAGCGGUGGAAUGCGUAGAGAGUCGGGAAGAACAUCAGUGGCGAAGGCGGCCUGGC